rnacentral:rRNA from 2 species
UGGGGAAUAUUGCACAAUGGGGGAAACCCUGAUGCAGCGAUGCCGCGUGGAGGAAGAAGGUUUUCGGAUUGUAAACUCCUGUCUUAAAGGACGAUAAUGACGGUACUUUAGGAGGAAGCUCCGGCUAACUACGUGCCAGCAGCCGCGGUAAUACGUAGGGAGCGAGCGUUGUCCGGAAUUACUGGGUGUAAAGGGAGCGUAGGCGGGAGUGCAAGUCAGAUGUGAAAUACAUGGGCUCAACCCAUGGGCUGCAUUUGAAACUGCAUUUCUUGAGUGAAGUAGAGGUAAGCGGAAUUCCUGGUGUAGCGGUGAAAUGCGUAGAUAUCAGGAGGAACACCGGUGGCGAAGGCGGCUUACUGGGCUUUUACUGACGCUGAGGCUCGAAAGCGUGGGGAGCAAACAGG